UACGAAGGGGGCUAGCGUUGCUCGGAAUCACUGGGCGUAAAGGGUGCGUAGGCGGGUCUUUUAAGUCAGGGGUGAAAUCCUGGAGCUCAACUCCAGAACUGCCUUCGAUACUGAGAGUCUUGAGUCCGGGAGAGGUGAGUGGAACUGCGAGUGUAGAGGUGAAAUUCGUAGAUAUUCGCAAGAACACCAGUGGCGAAGGCG
rnacentral:rRNA from 1 species